rnacentral:lncRNA from 1 species
CACUGAUGCCUUUGGAGAGCUCCCUGAUGUGUUUUGAGCUUGUAACUACUAUUGGUUCUGCCCCUUUGAAUGAAGAAGAACCACAUGAGAUGAGAGAACCAUUACUGACCGAAUCCUUGCUACAGUGGGCGCCUAAGAGCACUGCUUGAUUUCUUGCUCUGGUUUUUACUGUUUGACUAGAAGUGGAGUCAGUUGAGAUCUUGAGUCUACUAGGAGCACCUUCUCCCCCACCCCCACCCACCAAGCAGAGAGCGCACGACAGGCUUUUCAGAUGUCACCAAGUUAAGCAAUUUAAACUUCUGGGUUUCUAAAGCCUGUAUUAAUUGGUUAGAGUUUGAGUCAAAUCAGCAUUAGUUGAAAUGGUUUCAAAAUGCUGGAAUUUAGGACAAGAGACAUUGUACUUUUGCAUGCCCUUCCCACUCCCAUGCAGAGUUUUCUGAAACACCCUGAUGUCAUGUCAUCUACUUACUAGUUUGCUUAUAAAAAUAAAUAAAGCAAACCCUAGCUACUUAGGAGAAAC